CCAUGCCCCAGUCCAUGUGCCACUGUCCCCAUGUCGGAUCUGCCACCCCAUCAUUGGAUCCACCAUCCCAGUGCCCCCACCUCCCCCCUUUUUCCCCGCCUCCCCCGUUCUUCCCCUGUCGCAUCGUCGGAAGCUUGCCGAAGCACCCGUCCCUACGCCCCAGUCCUUGCAUCACCAUCACCGCACUGGAUCCAUCAUCCCUGCAUCGGAUCCAUCGUCCCCCCCGUCCCCCACACUGGAUCCACCAUCCUCCGCACC
rnacentral:lncRNA from 1 species